AAGCUGCAUUAAUGCAAAUUCUUUUAAGUUGCAUUACUGUAAUAAAUGGACUUUUGCACGAUAUUCAAAUUUUUCGACUUUCACCUGUGUACAGUAUGUUCUAUAAAAAUAUACAAGUACAAAAUGCCUAUGUCAGAUCUACAAAAUGGAAUCGAGCACAAUGCAAAAUGGGUCAGUCAGAUCUUAAAGCCAGUAUCUGGAUGUAAAGAGAAUCCACCCCGCUAUGUAGUUCUACAAAAAAAUCUGAUUACUAAGUCAGUGUGAAAUGGAGAGCUGAAGUUGAAGUAAUCUGAGACCAACAAACACAUGACAUAGCAACAACAGUCUAUCCAUAGCUACAAUUCUGUCUGAAAUGACUGGUUCCGCUCAAGAUUGUUAUGGUAGCGGUCAAGCUAUACUACUACAACGCUACAUGGCCUCAAUGCAAAAUCUCCUACUAUGGGCCCCACUUGCACCAUUUGUAAUUAUGAUGCAUUUUUAUGUGGUUGAGGAGUCUUUGGGUACAAAAACCAGGGACAAAGUUUAACUGUUACCAUUGACCCCUCUAUAGCUGCCCCCUGCUAUUGCCUAUUGCCAUCUCAUUCUGCGUUAUUAAUCAGAUUUUUUUUGAAUAUACAUAUGGGGCAAGAAGGUUUUGCAGUGUUUGGUUGCAUGAAUUGGGGCUUUGGUAUAAUAUAAAAACUAGGACAAAUAUGGCCUUUUUAGCGAGGUAGAAAUUCUGAUAGCUUCUUGUCAGUAAAUUAAGUCAGUUCCCUUUUGGAAUUACUUGUGCAUUUGAGAUGUCUGCUGACAGGAAGCAUUUUUAAGAACAUCCAGGACAGGCAAUAGGCAUUGAUACAGAAGAGCCACCACAAAAGGUCAUUGAACCCUUGAAGGAAGACUAAAACUACAAAUGCAUGACAGGCAGCUGAGGUGAUGGUUCUUAAACAUCUUGGUCGCUUACUGGUGGCAAAUCAGUGGGGGAGGUCUCCUGCUGCAUCCAGUUGCCUUACAUCUAUUGGGAUUUGCAGUCUAGAGUAAAGAAGUUGUUAAAGGUUUUGCAAGAUAACAAUAUCGAUGGCCCAUCCUUAGGAAAGACCAUUACUAUCAGAUCAGAGAUAGUUUGACUCUCGGUGCUCCCACCCAUCAGCUGCUUCAAGAGGUA